rnacentral:rRNA from 1 species
GACGAACCGUGCGAACGUUAUUCGGAAUCACUGGGCUUAAAGCGCGUGUAGGCGGGAGGGCACGUCCGUCGCUGAAAUCCCCCGGCUCAACCGGGGAACGGGCGCGGAUACGACCUUCCUUGAGGGGCGUAGGGGGACCUGGAACUUCCGGUGGAGCGGUGAAAUGCGUUGAGAUCGGAAGGAACGCCCGUGGCGAAGGCGAGUCCCUGGACGACUCCUGACACUGAGGCACGAAAGCUAGGGGAGCAAACAGG